rnacentral:rRNA from 1 species
UACGUAGGGGGCUAGCGUUGUCCGGAAUCAUUGGGCGUAAAGAGCGUGUAGGCGGUCCGGUAAGUCCGCUGUGAAAGUCGGGGGCUCAACCCUCGAAUGCCGGUGGAUACUGUCGGGCUAGAGUGCGGAAGAGGCGACUGGAAUUCCUGGUGUAGCGGUGAAAUGCGUAGAUAUCAGGAGGAACACCUAAGGCGAAAAGCAGGUUUCUGGGCCAACACUGACACUGAGCUGCGAAAGCUAGGGGAGCAAACAGG